rnacentral:rRNA from 1 species
UACGUAGGGUGCAAGCGUUGUCCGGAAUUAUUGGGCGUAAAGGGCUCGUAGGCGGUCCAUCACGUCGGGAGUGAAAAGCUGGGGCUUAACCCCAGUCCUGCUUCCGAUACGGGUGGACUAGAGGUAGGUAGGGGAGAACGGAAUUCCUGGUGUAGCGGUGAAAUGCGCAGAUAUCAGGAGGAACACCGGUGGCGAAGGCGGAUCUCUGGGCCUUACCUGACGCUCAGGUGCGAAAGCUAGGGGAGCGAACAGG